rnacentral:rRNA from 1 species
UACGGAGGGUGCAAGCGUUAUCCGGAUUCACUGGGUUUAAAGGGUGCGUAGGCGGGUUGGUAAGUCCGUGGUGAAAUCCCCAAGCUUAACUUGGGAACUGCCGUCGAUACUAUCAAUCUUGAAUAUCGUGGAGGUAAGCGGAAUAUGUCAUGUAGCGGUGAAAUGCUUAGAUAUGACAUAGAACACCAAUUGCGGAGGCAGCUUACUACACGAUCAUCGACGCUGAGGCACGAAAGCGUGGGGAGCAAACAGG